CCUUAUUGGAGAGUUUGAUCCUGGCUCAGGACGAACGCUGGCGGCGUGCUUAACACAUGCAAGUCGAGCGGUAAGGCCCUUCGGGGUACACGAGCGGCGAACGGGUGAGUAACACGUGGGUAACCUGCCCUGUACUCUGGGAUAAGCCUUGGAAACGAGGUCUAAUACCGGAUACGACCACUGAAUGCAUGUUCGGUGGUGGAAAGUUCCGGCGGUAUGGGAUGGACCCGCGGCCUAUCAGCUUGUUGGUGGGGUAAUGGCCUACCAAGGCGACGACGGGUAGCCGGCCUGAGAGGGUGACCGGCCACACUGGGACUGAGACACGGCCCAGACUCCUACGGGAGGCAGCAGUGGGGAAUAUUGCACAAUGGGCGAAAGCCUGAUGCAGCGACGCCGCGUGAGGGAUGACGGCCUUCGGGUUGUAAACCUCUUUCAGCAGGGACGAAGCGCAAGUGACGGUACCUGCAGAAGAAGCACCGGCUAACUACGUGCCAGCAGCCGCGGUAAUACGUAGGGUGCGAGCGUUGUCCG
rnacentral:rRNA from 1 species